UCGAUCCCUUUCUUCCUCGACAGUGGUGUGGUGUAGAAGGAGAGGAGCACCGGCGUCCACACCGGGGAGGUCGAAGGGUAGGCGGUAGAUUGGAGGAGCCCAGCGAGCCGGUCGGCCGGCGCCAUACAGAAGCAGCGCUGCCGUCUCCUUUCCCCCACUUUUUUAGGAGCUGGAUCUGAGGUGGCCAACCGCCGCUGUCGCCGCCGCCCCGUCGGGAAAAGGCCACCAUGUAGAUCACGCAGCAGGCCGGUCCACCCGCUAAAAUCUGUUGAUUUUGCCCUUCGUUGUAUCUUCUGCACCAUCUGCUUCUCUAUUCACCCGCCAAACAAAUGAGUAUGUGCCAUGCUUUGCAGGAAAUUCAUUGAACAGAUGUACCUCUUCUCCUGAAGCCGAUGCUGCCAUGCCUAUGAAUCGGAUAUGACCGAUGCUUUGUCAAGGGCUCAUAUGAGAGAAGAAAAGGAGGCUGGAGAUGCAGAGAAAGAAGCUCUAAGCUCAACAAAGGCAUCAGGUUAAUUUUGCUUCAAUUCUUAGGGCCAACUUAUUGUACUAUGUAAUCUAUCUAGUUAGUUACCAGAAGAUUUGCAAUAAAUAAAUAGCUGCCUGGUUCUCAAUAGGUUUGUAGCAUAGUGCCAAUUAUGUGCAACAAUACAUGUUGAGAAGACAAUCAAAUGGAAUUUAAAUACAGUAUUUUUCAAAUGCGUUCUUUGCCAGGAAAGCAGAGAGGGAGAGAGAGAGGAGCAGUAGAUGAACUAAAUGGGUUGGUUGUGUUGGGUUGCAAGCCACGAACUGAGCAUCACAAACAUCCUGUACUAACCUAGAACUAUAAUUGGUAUAUGGAUAAUAGUAUGCAGAGUUGGCCGCCGAAGCAGUAGGAGUUGUCCAGCACUGCUGCUUUAGUUGGAUGGAAAAGCAGUCCUAGUUGCGCACCCAAUUUUCUUGGGUGUCUCUGUGGCAAAAUCAGUAGUACAAGUUGUGCAUAAUACUUGAUGGAGUUGGCGCAGCAAAAUAGUAAAAUUUGAGUGUCAUUUAUAUUAUUUUUUCUAUUUUUGUGGUCGAGUUUUUCUUCUAGAAGCCUGAAAUCUGAAUAUUUCAUUUCCCAAGAGUAUCUAAAUAAUUGGCAUCUCAAGAUUUUCAGUUGCACAAGAGCAUUCAGAAACAUCCAUUUUCCCUGAUUUUUGGUUUGACAAGGAUGAAAACGUCGGCAUUAGAGUCGUGGUCGUGGCAGGGAAGGCGAACCCAGCGCAGCUCUGCCAGUGGCUCAAGAGGAAGAUAAGCAAGGAUGUCAAGAUUUUCCGCCGUUGUCCACACGGGCUGAGAAUUGUAAUAAGCAGCCGUGUGGGGUUAAGGUGCUUGCCGGCGGCGACCUGCGUGGCUCUCGGCCUGCAUCCUCGCUGAACUCAACACCAACUAUCGCGCGCCCGCGAUGUGACUGCUGUUGCAACAACGACGGCCAACGGCUAUUGAACGACGAGGAUGCCCUUCGGGGUUAUAGCAUGCAAAGCAAAGCAGUUGCUCGAUCCUCACAGCCAAUAUAUCUCCGUGUAGAAGCAGAAGAAGCAGCAAUUGAUUCGUAAGCAGCAAUUUUAUCUGUUUCAUUCCUUUGUAUUUUUGCCCUCUGUUUCUGCUGAAUGUAUGUAUCACUUUUUUCAGAUAUAUUGAUCUUCACAUUCUUAGUUGGCAUCCAUAGUGGUUGUAGUUGUACACAUAGCCGUUCUCAGUUGGAUACGACAAUUAGAAAGUUGCACAACACUAAACCUUUUUCCUACGGCGAUGAAAGUGGAACGGUAUACAUUGAACUGAAUACACAUGGCGUUCAUUUUUUUGGCAUUUAUAGUAAUUCUUGUUGCACACAUAGUUGUUUUCGUCGGAGACGAUCAUUACUAGUAGUUGUAGUUGCACAUACAGUUGUUCUCAGUUGGAUCCUAUUAUUGAAAAAUUGCACACAUGGCAAUCAUUUUUUGUUGGCAUCUAUAGUAGUUUUAGUUGCACACAUAGUUGUUUUCAGUUGGACACGAUUAUUGGGAAGUUACACACACGGUGAUCAUUUUUGUUAGCAUCUAUAGUAGUUCUAAUUGCACACAUAUUUGUUCUCAAUUGGAUACGAUCAUUGGAAAGUUGCACACACGGCGACCAUUUUUUGUUGGCAUCUAUAGUACUUCUAGAUAUUAUGCACAUAAUUGUUCUUAGUUAGAUACGGUCAUUCGGAAGUUACACACACGGUGAUCAUUUUUUGUUGGCAUCUACAGUAGUUCUAGUUGCACACAUAGUUGUUUUCAGUUGGACACGAUCAUUGGAAAGUUGCACACACGGCGAUCAUUUUUGGGUGGCAUCUAUAGUAGUUCUAGUUGCACACAUAGUUGUUUUCAGUUGGAUAGGGUCAUUGGAAAGUUGCACACACGGCAAUCAUUUUUUGUUGGCAUCUAUAAUAGUUCUAGUUGCACACAUAGUUGUUUUCAGUUGGACACGGUCAUUAGAAGUAGUUGGCAGGGGCAAUAGAAGUAGUUGCACAGAAUCUGCUAGUCAAAACUUCACGGUGGCGAAAGAUUCCUCUUAGUAAAACUGCAGAGAAGAAAGGUGCGCGCGGAGGCAGUAUCCAAAGGGGUAGAUGCCACAUCUUCUGCAGCAGCCGCUGUGGUAACAUAAAGUUCCAUCAGGAAUAUUUUUUACUCCACAUACAGGCAGCCAAGUGUAUGAAUUUUCAUACAAGUGUAUGAAUUUUCAUACAUGAUUGCAGAAGGACUAAUUAAGCAUUGGCAUGCUCAACUUUCUCAGUUGCUCAACGUUGCCAUCUUCAAGUUUUUUAGAAUUGUCCCAAGAGUAUGUAACAACUUGGCAUCCUCAGGCUUUCUAGUUGCAGAAUAGUAUCUAAUUAGUUGGCAACCUCAGUAAUUCUAGUUGCACAACAAUAUAUAACUAGUUGACAUCCUCAUCUUUUCUAGUUGCACAAAAACUCAGAUUAGUCCCAUCUUAAAAAAAUUGAGGAUUUCCCUACAGUAUGUAACGACUUGGCACCCUCAGGCUUUCUAGUUGCAGAAGAGUAUCUAUUUAGUUGGCACCCUCGGCAAUUAUAGUUGGACAACAUUAUCCAAGUAGUUGACAUCCUCAGCCUCUCUAGUUGCAUAAGAAUUCAGAUUUAUCCCAUCUUAAAAAUUUUGAGGAUUGCCCAACGGUAUCUAAUCACUUGGCACCCUCAGGAUUUCUAGUUGCAGAAGAGUAUCUAUUUAGUUGGCACCCUCUACAAUUCUAGUUGCACAACAUUAUUCAAGUAGUUGUCAUCCUCAGCCUCUCUAGUUGCACAAGAAUAUCUCAUUAGUUGGCAUCAUCAGCAUUUCUAGUCGCACAAGAAUAUCUCAUUAGUUGUCAUCACCAGCAUUUCUAGUUGCAGAACAAACAUAAUAUCAAGUUGCCAUCCUCAACAUUUUAAUCUAGUUUUCCAGAGAACAAAUAUUUGUAUGUAAUGAUAACUAAUCACCUUUGCCUUUUUUUGCAAACCGCGAGAUAUUGUUCAAGGAAAUGAGAGUAAUGAAGCAGAUAAUGUUGAACGAUAGUCACAAGCUGGCUACCUGAUGGAGACUACUCUGGAUACCUGAUGUUUGAGUUGGAUAGAAUACCUGUUUUAGUUGGCUAUAAUACUCUAGAUACCUGAUGCAUUUUUUUCACCCCUGGAUAUGUUUGUUUGCAGACAUCCAUGUGAAAGUUGGUUUCAAACAAUGGUUUUCUUGCACAGGGAACUGAAUUUCUUAUGCUUUUA